AGAGUUUGAUCAUGGCUCAGAUUGAACGCUGGCGGCAGGCCUAACACAUGCAAGUCGAACGGUAGCACAGAGAGCUUGCUCUCGGGUGACGAGUGGCGGACGGGUGAGUAAUGUCUGGGAAACUGCCUGAUGGAGGGGGAUAACUACUGGAAACGGUGGCUAAUACCGCAUAACGUCGCAAGACCAAAGAGGGGGACCUUCGGGCCUCUUGCCAUCAGAUGUGCCCAGAUGGGAUUAGCUAGUUGGUGAGGUAACGGCUCACCAAGGCGACGAUCCCUAGCUGGUCUGAGAGGAUGACCAGCCACACUGGAACUGAGACACGGUCCAGACUCCUACGGGAGGCAGCAGUGGGGAAUAUUGCACAAUGGGCGCAAGCCUGAUGCAGCCAUGCCGCGUGUAUGAAGAAGGCCUUCGGGUUGUAAAGUACUUUCAGCGGGGAGGAAGGUGUUGUGGUUAAUAACCGCAGCAAUUGACGUUACCCGCAGAAGAAGCACCGGCUAACUCCGUGCCAGCAGCCGCGGUAAUACGGAGGGUGCAAGCGUUAAUCGGAAUUACUGGGCGUAAAGCGCACGCAGGCGGUCUGUCAAGUCGGAUGUGAAAUCCCCGGGCUCAACCUGGGAACUGCAUUCGAAACUGGCAGGCUUGAGKCUUGUAGAGGGGGGUAGAAUUCCAGGUGUAGCGGUGAAAUGCGUAGAGAUCUGGAGGAAUACCGGUGGCGAAGGCGGCCCCCUGGACAAAGACUGACGCUCAGGUGCGAAAGCGUGGGGAGCAAACAGGAUUAGAUACCCUGGUAGUCCACGCCGUAAACGAUGUCUACUUGGAGGUUGUGCCCUUGAGGCGUGGCUUCCGGAGCUAACGCGUUAAGUAGACCGCCUGGGGAGUACGGCCGCAAGGUUAAAACUCAAAUGAAUUGACGGGGGCCCGCACAAGCGGUGGAGCAUGUGGUUUAAUUCGAUGCAACGCGAAGAACCUUACCUGGUCUUGACAUCCACAGAACUUUCCAGAGAUGGAUUGGUGCCUUCGGGAACUGUGAGACAGGUGCUGCAUGGCUGUCGUCAGCUCGUGUUGUGAAAUGUUGGGUUAAGUCCCGCAACGAGCGCAACCCUUAUCCUUUGUUGCCAGCGGUCCGGCCGGGAACUCAAAGGAGACUGCCAGUGAUAAACUGGAGGAAGGUGGGGAUGACGUCAAGUCAUCAUGGCCCUUACGACCAGGGCUACACACGUGCUACAAUGGCGCAUACAAAGAGAAGCGACCUCGCGAGAGCAAGCGGACCUCAUAAAGUGCGUCGUAGUCCGGAUUGGAGUCUGCAACUCGACUCCAUGAAGUCGGAAUCGCUAGUAAUCGUGGAUCAGAAUGCCACGGUGAAUACGUUCCCGGGCCUUGUACACACCGCCCGUCACACCAUGGGAGUGGGUUGCAAAAGAAGUAGGUAGCUUAACCUUCGGGAGGGCGCUUACCACUUUGUGAUUCAUGACUGGGGUGAAGUCGUAACAAGGUAACCGUAGGGGAACCUGCGGUUG
rnacentral:rRNA from 1 species